AGAGUUUGAUCAUGGCUCAGAACGAACGCUGGCGGCAGGCUUAACACAUGCAAGUCGAACGCACCUUUCGGGGUGAGUGGCAGACGGGUGAGUAACGCGUGGGAACGUGCCCUUCAGUUCGGAAUAACCCAGGGAAACUUGGGCUAAUACCGGAUACGUGCGAGAGCAGAAAGAUUUAUCGCUGAAGGAUCGGCCCGCGUCUGAUUAGCUAGUUGGUGAGGUAAUGGCUCACCAAGGCGACGAUCAGUAGCUGGUCUGAGAGGAUGAUCAGCCACAUUGGGACUGAGACACGGCCCAAACUCCUACGGGAGGCAGCAGUGGGGAAUAUUGGACAAUGGGCGCAAGCCUGAUCCAGCCAUGCCGCGUGAGUGAUGAAGGCCUUAGGGUUGUAAAGCUCUUUCGGCGGGGACGAUAAUGACGGUACCCGCAGAAGAAGCCCCGGCUAACUUCGUGCCAGCAGCCGCGGUAAUACGAAGGGGGCUAGCGUUGUUCGGAAUCACUGGGCGUAAAGGGCGCGUAGGCGGCUUUAUAAGUCGGGGGUGAAAGCCUGUGGCUCAACCACAGAAUUGCCUUCGAUACUGUAUGGCUUGAGACCGGAAGAGGUAAGUGGAACUGCGAGUGUAGAGGUGAAAUUCGUAGAUAUUCGCAAGAACACCAGUGGCGAAGGCGGCUUACUGGUCCGGUUCUGACGCUGAGGCGCGAAAGCGUGGGGAGCAAACAGGAUUAGAUACCCUAGUAGUCC
rnacentral:rRNA from 1 species